rnacentral:rRNA from 1 species
CAGAGGUCUCAACCGUUGUUCGGAUUCAUUGGGCGUAAAGGGUGCGUAGGCGGCGGGGCAAGUCAGGUGUGAAAUCUCGGGGCUCAACCCCGAAACUGCACUUGAUACUGCCUUGCUCGAGUACUGGAGAGGAGACUGGAAUUUACGGUGUAGCAGUGAAAUGCGUAGAUAUCGUAAGGAAGACCAGUGGCGAAGGCGAGUCUCUGGACAGUUACUGACGCUGAGGCACGAAGGCCAGGGGAGCAAACGGGAUUAGAUACCCCGGUAGUCCUGGCAGUAAACGGUGCACGUUUGGUGUGGGCGGAUUCGACCCCGCCCGUGCCGGAGCUAACGCGUUAAACGUGCCGCCUGGGAAGUACGGUCGCAAGAUUA